AGAAAAAAACAAAUUCAAUUUAAUCUUAAAUUAAAGACCUGAGACAGAGGUGGUGAAACCGUUUUUCGGAUUAACCUCAGGGUGACAAUAUUGAGAAUUAUGACGGCAAGGGGAUAACUCUUAUAAAAAAUAUGCCAGCACAAGGCUGGCAUAUUUUCAUCAU
rnacentral:sRNA from 1 species